CAUGAUGUGGACUCAGCAGCUGCUGUCCUCUCUCUCAUGCAGCAGCACUGCUCCUUUCCAGAAUACCUGGACACAUGUGCCUUGGCACUUGUAAGUAUGAGAGCAAAAUGAGUUUUGCUUAAGACAGAAAAGUCUUCUUCCACUCCCAGGAGGAUUCACAUUCAGCUUUCCUAUAACUAGUAGAAAUCAUACUAUUUUUUACAUAUCUGGGGAGCAAAGCGUAACAUUUUAGAGCACAGCUUCUACCCAAGAAGUUUAUCGUGUUUUCUUUGAUUUUCCAAUUUCAUUCUACACCUCUGCAGGUCCUUUCACUUUAAAAAGCUACUCCUCAAUGUGUGCAUUUAUAAAUUAAGAUUGAUUCUUCUCUGGAAGAAAACUCAGAGUAAUCUAGUGCGUUCAUCUUCACUGCCUUCAUUUUACCUGUGUUUCCCAUCAGUUCCCUCUGCUGCGGCACCCAAAAUUCCAUAUACCAGAAAAGCUCAGAAAGACGAUGUCAAGCUGAAUGAGGAACAAGCAGCAUUAAAGUCUCAAGCCGCUGAGAUUCAGACACAAAAUAAGUUGUUCACAUAUCCAAAUUCUUGUUAUACUACAAGAUGUCCAUUUGCUUUGUCUGCAGCAGCCAAGUGUCCCAAUACCUCUACUUCCUCCAGUUCAGGCAGCACAUGACAAUGAGAAGGGUGCAUUGCCCUCUAUGUCAGUGAUGAGCUGGUGUGCAUGGAGCCACAACUGCACAAGGAUGAGGAGCUGACUGAGAGCUUAUCGUACAGGAUUGAGGUACUCCACAACUUUUCUGUCUCAAGUCUUCACUAACAAGUGCUCUCAACACACUGAAGAAGGCUUCAGCAGGGACUCUGAGAAUGAAGAAUUGCCCACUGGCAACAUGGACUGUGGGAUUGGGGGAACCCUGAGAAAGUCUGCAGGCAACUCCAAGCUGAGUGCUGUGAUCGAUACGCUGGAAGGAAGGGAUGCCAUCCUGUGAUGUUUUCACACUGACGGACAACUGAAUUCCACCACACUGCUCUGUCACUCCUCCUUCCCAAAGGUAGGAGUAUGAGGGGAGAAAAAUGUGAUGAGUUGAGAUAGGGAUAAUUUAAUGAAAGAGAAAAUAAAAAUAAAAAUAAUUAAAAAAAAAAAGAAGCA
rnacentral:lncRNA from 1 species